UAUACUGGAUGAAAGCCCUACCUCUCUCUCAUCAACACGGUUCCUCUGACCGUUCCUUGAUACACUAGUAUGUGUAUAAG
rfam:Bacillus cereus Rock3-44 chromosome, whole genome shotgun sequence.